rnacentral:rRNA from 1 species
ACGUAGGGGGCAAGCGUUGUCCGGAUUCAUUGGGCGUAAAGAGCUCGUAGGCGGUUCAGUAAGUCGGGUGUGAAAGCUCCGAGCUCAACUCGGAGAGGCCACCCGAUACUGCUGUGACUUGAGUCCAGUAGAGGAGCGUGGAACUCCUGGUGUAGCGGUGGAAUGCGCAGAUAUCAGGAAGAACACCUGCAGCGAAGGCGGCGCUCUGGGCUGGAACUGACGCUGAGGAGCGAAAGCGUGGGUAGCAAACAGGA